AGACGACGGAAUUUGACGAGUUAUCCAUGACCUCCGUUCUGUAGGGAUCCACGAUAGAAGGACCGUAUCAUAUGAUAACUGCACCUAGAGGUUCAUCAUUCCAUUCUGCUGGGUUGCCACUACAUGCUGCUAGGUGUUACUGGUGGAUGGUGAGACUCACAGGGACUAUCUUGAUGAUCGAUGGUCCCUGGUGAGUUGAGUUGGAAUUGUUCCAACUCAUUGAAAGGAGUUUUCAAUAAUAUUGUGAUAGAGAUCGCAAUAUAUCUCACUACCAAACAGAAUAGAACCUAUGGGGUCACACACAUUAGAGGUAUUGACCGAUCCGAUGGUUGAAUUGUGAUUAGGAAUCACAAAUAAUUAAUUUGAUUGAUAAUUGGUUAACCCGCUAAGAGUUAGUGAGUUAAAGAAGGAAUAAUUGCAAUUGGAUUGCAAUUUAAUUUAAUUAAUUGAAUUUAAUUAAUUGGACUUAAUUACGAGUUCUACUUGG
rnacentral:lncRNA from 1 species